CCUACGGGAGGCAGCAGUGAGGAAUAUUGGUCAAUGGGCUUACGCCUGAACCAGCCAAGUCGCGUGAGGGAAGACUGCCCUAUGGGUUGUAAACCUCUUUUGUCAGGGAGCAAUUGGCGCUACGUGUAGCGUUAUCUAGAGUACCUGAAGAAAAAGCAUCGGCUAACUCCGUGCCAGCAGCCGCGGUAAUACGGAGGAUGCGAGCGUUAUCCGGAUUUAUUGGGUUUAAAGGGUGCGUAGGCGGAAUGCCAAGUCAGCGGUAAAAUCGCGGGGCUCAACCUCGCUCCGCCGUUGAAACUGGCGUUCUUGAGUGGGCGAGAAGUAUGCGGAAUGCGUGGGGUAGCGGUGAAAUGCAUAGAUAUCACGCAGAACUCCGAUUGCGAAGGCAGCAUACCGGCGCCCAACUGACGCUGAAGCACGAAAGCGUGGGUAUCGAACAGGAUUAGAUACCCUAGUAGUC
rnacentral:rRNA from 1 species